rnacentral:RNase_P_RNA from 1 species
UAGCGCAGGUGAUCGCGGCUACAAAGCCGAAAGGCUGUAGGUGAGGAAAGUCCGAGCUUCAAAGGGCAGGAUGCCGGAUAACGUCCGGUGGAGGUGACUCCCAGGCCAGUGCAACAGAAAUAAACCGCCAUAUUCUCUGAAUAUGGUAAGGGUGGAAAGGCGGGGUAAGAGCCCACCGCUUUGGUGGUAACAUCAAAGGCAUAUGUAAACCCCAUCCGAAGCAAGACCGAAUAGAAAGCAAUACGGCGGCCCGUCGUGCUUUCGGGUAGGUCGCUUGAACCUGGUGGCAACAUCAGGUCUAGAUAGAUGAUCAUCCAACGACAUAACUCGGCUUAUCGCGCUACUCA